AUUGAACGCUGGCGGCAGGCCUAACACAUGCAAGUCGAACGAGUGGCGGAAGGGUGAGUAAUGUCUGGGAAACUGCCUGAUGGAGGGGGAUAACUACUGGAAACGGUAGCUAAUAACGCAUACCAUCAGAUGUGCCAAGAUGGGCUUAGCUAGUUGGUGGGGUAACGGCUCACCAAGGCGACGAUCCCUAGCUGGUCUGAGAGGAUGACCAGCCAGACGGGAACGUGGAAACGGUCCAGACUCCUACGGUAGGCAGCAGUGGGGAAUAUUUCACAAUGGGGUCAAGCCUGAUGCAGCCAUGCCGCGUGUAGUAAGAAGGCCUUCGGGUUGUAAAGUACUUUCAGCGGGGAGGCGUUACCCGCAGAAGAAGCACCGGCUAACUCCGUGCCAGCCGCCGCGGUAAUAC
rnacentral:rRNA from 1 species